AAAGCUUUCAUGUUAACAUCAACUUCUUUGGCCCAAUGGUUCUUGAGAAGAAGAUUUCUAAAGAUUUUCCCUAUAUUUGUAUGUAAAACUUUGACCCCGCCCCUCUUGUGGCCCCAAUAUCAGCUUUUCUAACUCAGUGGUUAUUCAGAAGAAGAUUUUACCUAGAUAUUUGUAUGUAAAACUUUGAUCCCCCUUGUGGCCCAAUCCUACCCCCGGGGGUCAUGAUUUAAACAAACUUGAAUCUGCACUAUGUCAGAAAGUUUUCAUGCAAAAAUCAGCUUUUCUGGCUUAGUGGUUCUUGAGAAGAUUUUUAAAGUUUUUCCCUAUAUAUUUGUAUGUAAAACUUUGAUCCCCUAUUGUAGCCCCCUCCUACCCCCGGGGCCCAAGAUUUGAACAAACUUGAAUCUGCAUUAUGUCAGGAAGUUUUCAUGUAAAUCUCAGCUUUUCUGGGUUAGUGGUUCUUGAGAAGAAGAUUUUUAAAGUUUUUCCCUAUAUAUUUGUAUGUAAAACUUUGAUCCCCUAUUGUGGACCCAUCCUACCCCCGGGGGCCAUGAUUUAAACAAACUUGAAUCUGAUGUCAGGAAGCUUUCAGGUAAAUUUCAGCUCUUCUGGCCCAGUGGUUCUUGAGAAGAUUUUUAAAUGACUCCACCUUAUUUUUGCAUAUUUGUGAUUAUCUCCCCUUUGAAAGGGACAUGGCCCUUCAUUUGAACAAACUUGAAAGCCCUUCACCCAAGGAUGCUUUUGGCCAAGUUUGGUUGAAAUUGGCCCAGUAGUUCUGAAGAAGAAGAUAAAAUUGUGAAAAGUUUACGACAACGACGACAACCGACAAAUUUUGAUCAGAAAAGCUCACUUGAACCUCAACUUCAGGUGAGCUAAUAAUAGUUAAGAGGCUGUCUACGAUAGAACCAUGCAAAACCAAAAAAAUAUUAUGGAAGGUGUUGUCAAAUUUUCAGACCUUUUUAUGAUAUUUCAGAAGUAUUUUACUAGUUAUAUCAUAUUUUGUGGCAAAAAUCGAUGAGUACCUCCCGAACUAACACCUAAUGGGCCGUUCUAUUUUUAGCACAAUAUACACAUCAAUUUCACGCAAAAAUGGUGUAUUUUCAGCUAGUCAUUAGAAUAUCAAAAGCAGAAUAAUCACAUAUAAUUUCAGUUCCGCAUAGUCUAUUUGAACGGUACCUUUGAAUUGGUGAACAUAACUUUAAAAUUAAUUCUCCAGAUUUAAGUCGUAUAGUGUUUGAACUAGUAAGAUUAUGUAACUUUCAAAUUGAAUGCUAUUUUUAGUGAGUCAUAAAACCCCAAGAAACGUUUAAAAUAAAUAGUUUCGUGGUUUAAAACACAGAAUUAUGCAUAAAUUAUCACUACUAAACGGGAAUUUGGUUGCAAAUAAAUAGAAAGUCAUUUAUUUGGGGUAUGAAAUUCGGAAAUUUUAUCAAAAAAUUAUCUCUCUUUGUGGAACUUUCAUGGGAAGAAGGUAAGGAAAAAUGAUUCAUAAGGCAGAUGACAACAACAUGGAAUUGGUGGAAAGUGAUGGAAGAUGAAUUUAUAGCCUUGGUGAAAAUUUCAAGGAAAGAGGGUGUUUAUUUACAUCAGGAUUGCAAGAAGUAUACUUCAGCACAAUUGAGAUUUUUAAAUGUCCAUCCGAAAUUGUGUGAAUUCCAGAAUCUUUGUUCACUGCACUGCACAGCUGGUGUGCAUUAACUAUGAUCUAGACUUAACAGACAUCAUCAUGCCUAUGCCAAUCAUGGACAUUGACUUUGAAUAAAGAACAACAUGUUGUCACCCAUUACAUGACAAAUCUAACUCAGAUGUGAAAGGGGGGGGGGGGGUGACUCCAAAGCCGAUAGAUCUGCCACAUUACUCAAGCUGACAACACAUGUUCCAUUGAUUCUGGUAAGUUAAAUUGUUUUUAUAUCUUCCUGCACUAACAGAUAUUGAAAUAUGCACUUAUGCAUAAAUACUCAUAGAUGAAAUCUAUAAAAUUUUACUUCUAUUUUUCUAUUUGAAAUUUUUAAGAUAUCAAUUUGCUGAAUGCACAAUUUUCUAGAUUAAAAUACUGUUACAAUAUAUUUAGGAAAUAUAAUGAAAUAUAUGUGUUUGGUGUUUGCAGACAAGACAAUGCAUUGAGAAACACAAAAAUUGUGUCCAUAUUAAGACAGAUGUAAAGAAAGAGUUGAAAGAUGUUUCUGAAGUAAGACAGUCAUACCCCUGCUUUCCAAGGAACCAAACAAUUACUUUCCUUGUAUUGACAUGGUGAAAAAUGGGGAGGGUCCAGAAAAUGACAAAUACCUCCAGAAUGUCAUCAGUGAUAUUGUUGCAAUUGAAUGUAACCAAUUAUUAUCCAAUAUAUAUUAUCUAUGACUGAACUCAUAAGUGGUUAAGGAAAACUGUUUUAUUUUUUUUAGUCACUGCUUGGAGGUUAUUUUACAUCUCUCAGGAUUUUCUAGAUGUCAGAUUUCCUAAAACUCACACUUGUGCUUUAAUUUUUUUUUUUUUUGUUGGUAUAAAUGUACAGAAAAAUUGAAUGUUCUUCUAUAGGAUAGUUUUGCCAAUAGUUUCAGUUGAAAGUUACAACAAAAAAGAAGAAAAAAAAGAAAAAAAGAAUUGCAAUGAUUAAAUCUCUAUGUUUAUAAUG